UCUGGGAUAAGCCUGGGAAACUGGGUCUAAUACCGGAUAUGACUCCUCAUCGCAUGGUGGGGGGUGGAAAGCUUUUUGUGGUUUUGGAUGGACUCGCGGCCUAUCAGCUUGUUGGUGGGGUAAUGGCCUACCAAGGCGACGACGGGUAGCCGGCCUGAGAGGGUGACCGGCCACACUGGGACUGAGACACGGCCCAGACUCCUACGGGAGGCAGCAGUGGGGAAUAUUGCACAAUGGGCGAAAGCCUGAUGCAGCGACGCCGCGUGAGGGAUGACGGCCUUCGGGUUGUAAACCUCUUUCAGUAGGGAAGAAGCCCUCUUUGGGGGUGACGGUACUUGCAGAAGAAGCGCCGGCUAACUACGUGCCAGCAGCCGCGGUAAUACGUAGGGCGCAAGCGUUAUCCGGAAUUAUUGGGCGUAAAGAGCUCGUAGGCGGUUUGUCGCGUCUGCUGUGAAAGACCGGGGCUCAACUCCGGUUCUGCAGUGGGUACGGGCAGACUAGAGUGCAGUAGGGGAGACUGGAAUUCCUGGUGUAGCGGUGAAAUGCGCAGAUAUCAGGAGGAACACCGAUGGCGAAGGCAGGUCUCUGGGCUGUAACUGACGCUGAGGAGCGAAAGCAUGGGGAGCGAACAGGAUUAGAUACCCUGGUAGUCCAUGCCGUAAACGUUGGGCACUAGGUGUGGGGGACAUUCCACGUUUUCCGCGCCGUAGCUAACGCAUUAAGUGCCCCGCCUGGGGAGUACGGCCGCAAG
rnacentral:rRNA from 1 species